CCCUCACCAGCACCAUCACCACCACCAGCACCACCACCACCACCCUCACCACCACCCUCACCACCAUCACCACCACCGCGAGAAGCCCCCAGCUGAAGAGGCCUCCCCAGUCGCCGCCGUUGUGAUGGCUGCAGUGAUGAUGACGUCAUCCGAUCUGGUCACGAAGGAAACGCAACUCAACCUGAAUUGUGACACAU